AAGUCGUAACAAGGUCUCCGUUGGUGAACCAGCGGAGGGAUCAUUACUGAGUACUACACUCUCUACCCUUUGUGAACUAUUAUACCUGUUGCUUCGGCGGCGCCCGCAAGGGUGCCCGCCGGUCUCAUCAGAAUCUCUGUUUUCGAACCCGACGAUACUUCUGAGUGUUCUUAGCGAACUGUCAAAACUUUUAACAACGGAUCUCUUGGCUCCAGCAUCGAUGAAGAACGCAGCGAAACGCGAUAUGUAAUGUGAAUUGCAGAAUUCAGUGAAUCAUCGAAUCUUUGAACGCACAUGGCGCCUUCCAGUAUCCUGGGAGGCGUGCCUGUCCGAGCGUCGUUUCAACCCUCGAGCCCCUGUGGCCCGGCGUUGGGGAUCUGCCACGGCAGGCCUCUAAAACCAGUGGCGGACCCGAAGGGGCCCUCUCCUUUGCGCAGUAGCAUUCGCCUUCGCAUCGGGAGUCCUCCGGCGUCCUGCCUCUAAACCCCCCACAAGCCCGCUUCGGCGGCACCAAGGUUGACCUCGGAUCAGGUAGGAAUACCCGCUGAACUUAA
rnacentral:rRNA from 1 species